CAUCACAGAGACUGUGCAUCAACAGCAGUUCAGAGCGUGGGCUUGCCGUGUGCACUCCGUGGACCCACCUGCUCUGGCCCAAGAAGAGUUGGUGUUAUCUACUCCUGAUCCUGGCACAGGGAUUUCCACCCAAUCACAGUGAAACUGGCCACAGAAGUUCCUGCUUAGAUCAGCCCCUGCCCUGGAAAGUCAGCUGGCUCCGGGCCUGCAGUCAUGUCACAGCCAGAUGACAGUCAGAUGAGCCCAGCAGUGGGCAGUGACACAGUGACCUCUCAACACCACACCACUUUCCCUUGAUGUGCAGCCAGCGUGUG